rnacentral:lncRNA from 1 species
AUGUAUUUGGUAUUCUUAAGGGUUUUCAUCAUAGUUAUUCAAUUGUCGCUGAGUCUUGCAUUACAAAAUGGUAAACACAAUUUGGCGGAGUGGAUAGUUCGACUCAAAGACUCGAUCCAAAAAGACAAAGUAAUGGUAGAUGAAAACCUGGAAACGAUAGGUAACCAAUUGAAACGGACAGACUUGUGUAACGAUGCUUUGGCUAAUUUGAGGAUGUAUAAAACUCUCCUGGAAAACGAGCUUCUCAACCUCACAGCCGCUGUGAUGCAAAUGUCAACGGAAGAGGAGAGGUUGAGGAUUUUAUUGCGAGAAGAACGGAGAGCAGUGAAAAAUCUAACUGGACAUGUAGAUGAGUAUUUGAGUGCAAAAAAUAAUUAUAGUAACGAGCUGAACCAUUUAAAAGAGGAGAAUAAGAAGCUUGAAAUGCAGCUGGAAAAUCAAACGGCUGAAAUGAGUUUUCAGAAGAUCGUAGACGUACACUCUGGUAUGAAUGUGAUAGAGCUUGUAUUUCGUGAGCUCUUCGGAGAGAAGAAGAGGGUCAAUCAGUGGAGCAAAUUUUUUAAGACAGUGCAAGCGAUAGUUCAUCAGAAGAAUGCAAACACAGCAGCUAAUGAGACAUCCGAAAAACUGAAAAAAACUUUAAAAGCCCCCCGAAAAGAAUUUUGA